rnacentral:rRNA from 1 species
GAGAGUUUGAUUCUGGCUCAGGAUGAAUGCUGGCGGCGUGGAUAAGGCAUGCAAGUCGAACGGUGCAGGGUAGCAAUACUUUGCAUAGUGGCGAACGAGUUAGUAACACCUUGGUACAUACCUCGAAGUCGGGCACAACUAGUCGAAAGAUUAGCUAAUUCCCGAUAGUCCCGAAAGGGUAAAGUCGCAAGACGCUUUGAGAGUGGCCUAGGUCCUAUCAGCUUGUUGGCGGGGUAAAAGCCCACCAAGGCUAUGACGGGUAGGGGGCGUGAGAGCGCGACCCUCAACGACGAAACUGAGAUACGGUUCGUACACCUACGGGUGGCAGCAGUCGAGAAUAUUCGACAAUGGGCGAAAGCCUGAUCGAGCGACGCCGCGUGCGGGAAGAAGUCCUUAGGGAUGUAAACCGCUUUUGUUAGGGAAGAAUUUUGACGGUACCUGACGAAUAAGGGGUUGCUAACUCUGUGCCAGCAGCAGCGGUAAUACAGAGACCCCGAGCAUUAUCCGGAAUUACUGGGCGUAAAGAGCGAGUAGCCGGUUGUAUUAGUCUGAUGUUAAAUCCCAAGGCUUAACUUUGGGACCGCGUCGGAAACGGUACGACUAGAGCAGCUGAGAGGUAAGCGGAACGUGCAGUGUAGGGGUGAAAUCCAUUGAUAUUGCACGGAACACCAAAAGCGAAGGCAGCUUACUGGCAGUUUGCUGACGGUCAAUCGCGAAAGCGUGGGGAUCAAAAAGGAUUAGAUACCCUUGUAGUCCACGCCCUAAACUAUGCACAUUAGCUAUUGGGAGCAUCGACCCUUCCAGUGGCGUAGCCAACGCGUUAAAUGUGCCGCCUGGGAAGUACGAGCGCAAGCUUAAAACUCAAAGAAAUAGGCGGGAAUUCGCACAAGCAGUGGAUCAUGUGGUUCAAUUCGACUCUAACCGAGGAACCUCACCAAGGUUUGAAACUCAGCUGCAUACUCUGGAAACAGAGUAGCCUUCGAGGGUGCUGAGCAGGUGCUGCACGGCUGUC